rnacentral:rRNA from 1 species
GACGAACGCUGGCGGCAUGCCUAACACAUGCAAGUCGAACGAGAUCUUCGGGUCUAGUGGCGCACGGGUGCGUAACGCGUGGGAAUCUGCCCUUUGGUUCGGAAUAACAGUUGGAAACGACUGCUAAUACCGGAUGAUGACGAAAGUCCAAAGAUUUAUCGCCAGAGGAUGAGCCCGCGUAGGAUUAGCUAGUUGGUGUGGUAAAGGCGCACCAAGGCGACGAUCCUUAGCUGGUCUGAGAGGAUGAUCAGCCACACUGGGGCUGAGACACGGCCCAGACUCCUCCGGGAGGCAGCAGUGGGGAAUAUUGGACAAUGGGCGAAAGCCUGAUCCAGCAAUGCCGCGUGAGUGAUGAAGGCCUUAGGGUUGUAAAGCUCUUUUACCCGGGAUGAUAAUGACAGUACCGGGAGAAUAAGCUCCGGCUAACUCCGUGCCAGCAGCCGCCGUAA